rnacentral:lncRNA from 1 species
AUUGACUGACGUAUUAGUAUAUUAUUGACAGACAUAUGACUAAAGUGAGUUAAGUUGACUGUUAGGACGUUGAGAGAAAGAACUUUAUGUUUUGAAGUAACUGAAAGAUGGAUUGAAUGGAAUGAGGGGAUAAAUUGUUAGAUUGUAUUGGGAUGUUUACCUUGUAGGUGUCCCACGGGAUCACCAAUUUAUUUUGCACCUUCGGGAGCAUUUGACUGAUAUGUGUUUCUGCAGAACACUAGACUGAUAUGUACGUCCCUCGGGGCGUUAGACUGAUAUGUACGUCCCUCGGGGCGUUAGACUGAGAUGUGUAUCCUACGGGAUCACAAGACUGCGACUGUACAGGGUGUCCCAAUAGAACUUUAACAAUUUAUUUUCCCCUGACGAGACCAGUAGAGGGUCUCUUACUGAGUAUUAUUAUACUCACCCUUCUUAUGUUUAAUUUUCAGGCAAAGGAAAUAAAGGUGGCAAACCGGCGAGGGGCAGCAAGGAAGCGUGAUUGCCAUAGGGAAUGUGUUAUUUUGCUUCCGCUUAUGAUUUCUUUUAAGGUUUAAGAUGUACUAAAACUUAGUUUACAAACUUUUAUUUGUAAAUAGGGUUAUUGUUAAGUUUUCUUGAAUAUUUGAAAAUCAGGCCUUACAUAAAUUGUUUUUAAAUUGACUUAUGUUUCAAUUUGUAUCAACCAAAGUCUUUUGUCAAAAAUUAACGAUCUCGACUUACCCAGAAAAGUUGGGUCGUUACAACUAAUAUGUAAUGUUGAGAUCAACUGAAUAUGUUUGUAAUGUAGGGACUUUGAUGAAAGAAUUGAAUAUUCAGGAAAUUGUAUGAAAAAAAAUGGUUGAAUGUUAAAUUGACUUAUGAAUAGUGUAUAUGAAACAAUACAUUAUAUAUUUUAUGAAUGAAAUGUUAUGCAAUCAAUUUGUUAAACUGGUUUAUUUAUUUUAUUUCAAAUAUUUAUUUUAUAUGUAAUAAAUAAUAAGUUAUGUUUGAAACAACAGUAUAAGGAUAUAUCAUAAUAUAUAUUGUUCAUUUAAGGUUAGUAAAAAUUUAUAUUUUGUAUUUGAAAUAUACUAUGAUAUACUGAGUACAUCAAAGAUGACAUCAUUUAUGUACUAUUGAAAAUAUGAAGUAGUAUAUAUAUGUAACAAAUCACAUAAGAUAUAUGUAUCAUGUACUAGUAUAUACGUCAUUAUUUAUAUAUACACACCUAAUGAAAAAAAGUAGAGUGUGUGGGACCCACGUAUAUAAAUAAUGAGAAAAUAAAAAAUGUUGGCCCAAUGUAAUAUAUAUAUAAAGUAAAAAAUAAACUAUGUAGGGUCCACUGCAUGAAAAUUGUGUAGGGGUACAAAAAUUCACCUCAACUCACCUAUUUUUGUCAAUAGUUUUGCAUUCACCUACUUUUGACAUAUGUUUCAAAAUUUACAUUAUUUUUUAAAAAAAGUUCUAUACAUAAUAAAUAAUAACUCGUGAUUGAAACAAGAGUGGUUAUGUGUAAUGCCCCAAAGGUAUAUAUAUAUAUAUAUAUAUAUUUUGUUUUUUAUUUUUAUAUAUAUAUUUAUUUAUUUAUAUUUAAUUUAAAUAAAAAGGAAAAAGAAAAAAUAAAGAAAGAAAGGAGAAAAAAAAAGAAAAAAUCUCUCUUUCUCUCUCCCUCGCGCGCCGCGACCCCCCCCCCGUUCUCUUCUCUUUUCCUUUCUCUUUUCUCUUCUCCCUUCCGUUUUCUUCCCGUCACAGCCCAGCCGCAACCGCCGCCGAUCCUUUCUCUUCCGUUCUCUUCCCGCCGCAGCUCAGCCGCCCCAUCCGUUUCCUUCUCUCCGUUCGUCGCGUGAACAUGUAACCGCCGGCUGUCUUCCCCUCUCCUUUCUCCUCUGUUCUCUGCCCAGCACCGCGUGACCCUCCGCCCAGCGCCGUGUGACCCUCUGCCCACCGCCCCGCGCGACCUCUGUCUCCGCGCGUUACCGUUACUACGACCAGAUCUGCGUCGUCGUGCCCCGUCCUAAAUCGUCUUUGUCUCCGUCGAAGUUUUGUUGGUAAGAUUAAAGUUAUGAAAUUGUAGUCGUUUCCAAAACAAUUUAAGUAUGGGUUAUGAUGUUUUCAAGGUGUUCAAACGUUACGGAUGGGUUAAUUGACUAAUUUGAUAAAUUAUUCUUGAAGGUGUGAAAGGUAACUUUGGGUCACUUAAAUUCACAACCAAUUUGUGAAUUGUUAAGGGUUCAGUUCGCCAGUAUUUCGGUAAGUUGGGGAAUUUACAUAUGGAGUAAUUUGAAAGGUUGAAACUAUUUAGAACGAUGUUUGAUUUUAUGAAUUGAAUUAUGUUUAGGAUUUGAUUCAUUGGAUUUAGUAGAUUGAAGAAUUUGCAUAGAAAUCGAGGUAAGGGAUUUUCUACUGGACUCAAUUGUGAUUGUGAACUGUGAUUGUGAACUGUAUGUGUGUUGAAUGUAUACUGGGGUUGACUGAAAAUAUAUAUGAAUGUAUAUAAAUUGAAGUAGACUUGACGUCGAAUGUAUGUCGUGAUUGUCAUGGAAUCUAUAUAUAAAUGUGUGUAUGUGGACAGGACGGAGAUUGUAGAUUGUGUUUGUAUGAGAUUCUCGUUUAGAUUGGGUGUAUGAUUACGCUAAAGUAUGACUGUGUGCUGGUGAACUGAGGGGUGCAUUGACUGUAUAGUGGAUUGACUGAUGUAUUAGCAUAUUAUUGACAGACAUAUGACUGUAGUAAAAUAAGUUAACUGUUAGGAUGUUGAAAGAAAGAACUUUGUGACUUGAAGUAACUGAAAGAUGGGUUGAAUGGAAUGAGGGGAUAAAUUGUUAGAUUGUAUUGGGAUGUUUACCUUGUAGGUGUCCCACGGGAUCACCAAUUUAUUGUGCACCUUCGGGAGCAUUUGACUGAUAUGUGUUUCUGCAGAACACUAGACUGAUAUGUACGUCCCUCGGGGCGUUAGACUGAGAUGUGUAUUCUACGGGAUCACAAGACUGCGACUGUACAUGGUGUUCCAAUAGAACUUUAACAAUUUAUUUUCCCCUGACGGGACCAGUAGAGGGUCUCUUACUGAGUAUUUAAAAUACUCACCCUUCUUAUGUUAAAUUUUCAGGCAAAGGUAAUAAAGGCAACAAACAGGCGAGGGGCAGGAAGGAAGCGUGAUGCCAUAGGAAACGUGUUUUUGCUUCCGCUUAUGGGUUCUUGUGAGGUUUAAAAUGAAUUGAAAUUUAGUUUACAAACGUUGGUUGUAAAUAGUAUUAUUUUAUGUUUUCUUGAAUGUUUAAAAAUCAGGCCUGACUUAAAGAUGUUUUGUUUUUAAAUUGCUUACGUUUUGUUUUAUAUUAAUCAAAGUCUUUAUUUGUUAAAAAUUAACGAUCUCGACGUACUUAGAAAAGUUGGGUUGUUACAGUUGGUAUCAGAGCCUAAGUUUUAGGUUCUGUAGACUGACUUACGAUGUAAGUCUAUGUUUUUGUGUCCCUAUGGCUAACGCGACCCUUCGUCUCUCGUCAGGUAUGCUUUAUGCUUAUAUGUAUGGUUUAUGUAUAUGACCUUGCCUAAGUUAAACUAGAAUUACAUGAAUGUUAUGAUUCAACAAGUUAAAGUAGUUGCUUGUGCUCCUCGUCAGUUGAAGAGUCAUGAGGAAAAUUAUACAACUUAUGAUAUGGAAUUGACAGUUGUGGUUUUUACAUUAAUGAUUUGAAGGCACUAUUUGUAUGAUGAAAAGAUAUAGAUAUUUUCUAACCAAAAGAGUAUAAAAUACUUCUUCACUCAAAAGAAGUUGAGUAUGAGAUAGCAAAGAUGGUUUCAGUUAGUAAAUGACUAUGAUUGUGAGAUUUUGUACCAUCUAGGUAAGGCGAAUGUGGAAGUUGGUGCUCUUCGUAGAAAAGUAUCACAUUUUGACAGCACUUAUUACCAGACAGGUUUCAUUAGACAAAAACCACGAGAGAGCUGAGAUUGUAGUUUUAGUGGGAGAAGUCACCUCACAGUUAGCUCAGUUGUCAGUACAUCCGAUCUUGAGACAAAGAAUUCUUGUGGUUCAAUUCAUUGAUCCUUAUUUGAUUGAGAAGCAUCGCCUAGUAGAAGUAGGGCAAGUUAAGGAGUUUUCCAUAUCCUUUGAUGAUGAACUUAUGUUUGAGAGAGAAUUAUGUGUGCCAACAGAAAAAGCAAUUAAGACAAGGUUAUUGGUUGAGACUCAUAGUUUCCCAUUUCUCAUGCAUCCAAGUAGCACAAAAAUGUAUCCGUAUCUGAAAAGAGUUUGUUACUAGCGUAAUAUGAAGAGAGAAAUGGAAGAUCUUGUUAGUAAGUGCUUAGUAUGUCAGCAAGUUAAGGCACCUAGACAGAAACCAGCAGGUUUGUUACAACCUUUAAGUGUGCCAGAGUGGAAGUGGGAGAAUGUGUCGAUGAAUUUUAUUUCAGGGCUGCCUAAGACCCUGAAGGGUUUCACAGUGAUUUUGGUUGUCAUAGACAGGCUUACGAAAUCGGCACAUUUUGUACCAGGGAAAUCCACUUAUACUGCUAGUAAUUGGGCAGAGUUGUAUUUAACUGAGAUUGUGAGACUGCAUGGAGUGCCUGUAUCGAUUGUUUCUGAUAGGGAUGCACGGUUUACUUCCAAGUUUUGGAAGGGACUUCAGACUGCUAUGGGUACGAGAUUGGAUUUUAGUACAGCCUUUCAUCCACAGACUGAUGGUCAAACUGAACGUUUGAACCAAGUUUUAGAGGAUAUGCUACGAGCUUGUGUUAUAGAGUUUCCAGGUAGUUGGGACUUUCAUCUACAUUUGAUGGAGUUUUCUUAUAACAACAGUUUCCAGGUUACCAUCGGUAUGACACCAUUUGAGGCUUUGUAUGGCAAAUGUUGUAGAACCCCUGUUUGUUGGGGUGAGGUUGGUGAACAUAGGUUGAUGGGACCUGAAUUAGUUCGGUCUACUAAUGAGGCUAUUCAAAAGAUUAGAGCACGUAUGCAAACAGCGCAGAGUAGACAGAAGAGUUAUGCGGAUGUACGGCGAAAAGACCUUAAGUUCGAUGUGGGAGAAAAGGUAUUCUUGAAGGUAGCACCUAUGAAGGGUGUUAUGCGUUUUGAGAAGAAAGGAAAGUUAAGUCCUCGUUUUGUUGGACCAUUUGAGAUCUUAGAGACGGUUGGUGUUGUGGCGUAUCGCUUGGCAUUACCACCAUCUCUCUCUGAAGUCCAUAAUGUUUUCCAUGUUUCGAUGUUGAGGAAGUAUAUGGCCGAUACAUCUCAUGUAGUAGACUAUGAACCCUUGGAGAUUGAUGAGCGUUUGAGCUAUGUAGAACAACCUGUGGAGAUUCUGGCUAGAGAGGUAAAGACGCUUCGUAAUAGAAGUAUUCCAUUAGUAAAGGUUUUGUGGCGGAACCAUCGAAUUGAAGAGGCGACAUGGGAGCGAGAGGAAGAGAUGAGGACUCGUUAUCCAGAGUUAUUUCAGGAUUAGAACUUUCGAGGACGAAAGUUUCUUAAGGAGGGAAGAAUGUAACGCCCCAAACUUGAAGGUAAAUUAUUUUGAGAGAAUUAUUUCGAUUUGUUCAAGAUUUUUUUUAAAAAUAUGUUGAAGGGGAGAAAGAAGAUUUGAAAAUGUAUUAAUAUAAUUAAAUAUAUAUAUGUAUUUAAUUAUAUUUUUAUUAUUAUAUAUAUUUUACAUUUUAUUAAAUAAAAGAAAAGAAAAUGAAAAAAAAAAUUUACUUUCUUCUUCCUCCCGUACGCCCAUCCCUUCCGUUCUCUCCGUUCGCGCAGCAACCGCCGUCGGCCAUCUCCGUUCCUCUUCUCCUUCCGUUCGUGCCCAGCCGCAGCCCAGCCGCCGAUCCUUUCCCUUCCGUUUCCUUCCCGCCGCAGCCUAGCCGCAGCCAGCCGCCGGUCCCUUCCUUCCAUUUUCUUCUUCCGUCUGCAGCCCCGCCGCGAAGCAAGACCGUGCCGCUGCCAGUCCAGAUCUGCGUUGCAGUUGUCCCGCGCGCCGAUCUGCCGUCUCCAUCUCCGUUCGCGAAGCAAAAUUGCCGCCGCUCGCCGAACCCAACCGCCACCCUCUCUUUUCUCCUUCGGAUCGAAACCGCCGUCCAGAUCUGCAUCACAACUGCCGCUCGUAACCGUCGGCCGGUUCGUGAAGCCAGCUGCGCAACCUUCGUUCCAACCGCUGCACUGCCGCGCGAUUCUCCAGCCACGUCUUCUUUAGCCGACCGCUGACCGACCCACACUUAGGAUUUUGCUGCGAGUCGACAGUCGUGCGUUGAGGUGUUGGGAGUAACCUUGGGCUCCCUUAAAUUCACAACAAAUUUGUGAAUUGUUGAGGGUUCAGUUCGCCAGUAUUUCGGUAAGUUGUGGAAUUUACAUAUGGAGUAAUUUGAAAGGUUGAAACUAUUUAGAACGAUGUUGAUUUUAUGAUUGAUUAUGUUUAGGAUUUGAUUCAUUGGAUUUAGUAGAUUGAAGAAUUUGCAUAGAAAUCGAGGUAAGGGAUUUUCUACUGGACUCACUUAUGAUUGUGAAUUGUAUGUCUGUAUGAUUAUCUCUGACUGAGUAAAGAUGAUGAGAUGAUAUAUAUAUACACACGUAUGGAUGUAGAUUCGGUGUUGAAUGUAUAUUGUGGAUUGACUGAAAAUAUAUAUAUGCAUAUGAAUUGAAGUAGACUUAAUGUUGAAUGCAUAUUGUGAUUGUCAUGGAAUAUAUAUAUGUGUGUGGAUGUGGACAGGACGAAAAUUGUAGAUUGUGCUUGUAUGAGAUGCAGAUGCGAUCUUGUGAUUGUCGUUUAGAUUGGGUGUACGUUACGCUAAAGUAUGACUGUGUGCUGGUGAUCUGAGGGGUGUAUUGACUGUAUAGUUUGAUUGAUUGACGUAUUAGUAUAUUAUUGACAGACAUAUGACUAAAGUGAGAUAAGUUGACUGUUAGGACGUUGAGAGAAAGAACUCUAUGUUUUGAAGUAACUAAAAGAUGGAUUGAAUGGAAUGAGGGGAUAAAUUGUUAGAUUGUAUUGGGAUGUUUACCUUGUAGGUGUCUCACUGGAUCACCAAUUUAUUUUGCACCUUCGGGAGCAUUUGACUGAUAUGUGUUUCUGCAGAACACUAGACUGAUAUGUACGUCCCUCGGGGCGUUAGACUGAGAUGUGUAUCCUACGGGAUCACAAGACUGCGACUGUACAGGGUGUCCCAAUAGAACUUUAACAAUUUAUUUUCCCC